rnacentral:rRNA from 1 species
GGCCCUGUAAGUACCUUGUGAAAUACCACCGCUCAACCGGCUGGAACUGGCAGGGUAUACUGCAGGCAAUGAGGCCGGUAGAGGUUGCCGGAACUGUAGGUGUACCGGUGAAAUGCGUAGAUAUCUACAGGAACACCAAAGACGAAGGUAGGCAACUGGGCCGGUUCUGACGCUCAGGCACGAAAGCGUGGGGAGCAAACAGGAUUAGAUACCCUGGUAGUCCACGCCGUAAACGAUGUGCACUAGAUUCGAGAGGCUCUGACGCCAUUCGGGUCGAAGCAAAAGUGUUAAGUGCACCGCCUGGGGAGUACGGUCGCAAGGCUAAAACUCAAAGGAAUCGACGGGGGCUCACACAAGCGGUGGAGCAUGUGGCUUAAUUCGAAGCAACGCGAAGAACCUUAUCCUGGGUUUGACAUGCACGGAUACCCUCGCCGAAAGGCGAGUAAGUUGCCCAUUCGGGUGAAACGUGCACAGGUGCUGCAUGGCUGUCGUCAGCUCGUGCUGUGAAGUGUUGGGUUAAGUCCCUUAACGAGCGAAACCCCUGUCGCUAGUUGCUAACAGGUCUCCGGACGCUGAGGACUCUAGCGAGACUGCCGGUGUCAAACCGGAGGAAGGCGGGGAUGACGUCAAGUCCUCAUGGCCUUUAUGCCCAGGGCUGCACACGUGCUACAAUGGCGUGAACAGAGCGACGCAAUACCGUAAGGUGGAGCAAAUCGCAAAAAUCACGCCCCAGUUCGGAUCGAGGUCUGCAACUCGACCUCGUGAAGGUGGAAUCGCUAGUAAUCGCGCAUCAGCAAUGGCGCAGUGAAUACGUUCAUGAGCAUUGUACACACCGCCCGUCAAGUCAUGAAGCCGGGAGUGCCCGAAUCGCACCGUUUCAG